rnacentral:rRNA from 1 species
AGUGAACGCUGGCGGUAGGCCUAACACAUGCAAGUCGAACGGCAGCACAGUAAGAGCUUGCUCUUACGGGUGGCGAGUGGCGGACGGGUGAGGAAUACAUCGGAAUCUACUUUUUCGUGGGGGAUAACGUAGGGAAACUUACGCUAAUACCGCAUACGACCUACGGGUGAAAGCAGGGGAUCUUCGGACCUUGCGCGAUUGCAUGAGCCGAUGUCGGAUUAGCUAGUUGGCGGGGUAAAGGCCCACCAAGGCGACGAUCCGUAGCUGGUCUGAGAGGAUGAUCAGCCACACUGGAACUGAGACACGGUCCAGACUCCUACGGGAGGCAGCAGUGGGGAAUAUUGGACAAUGGGCGCAAGCCUGAUCCAGCAAUACCGCGUGGGUGAAGAAGGCCUUCGGGUUGUAAAGCCCUUUUGUUGGGAAAGAAAAGCAGCAGGUUAAUACCCCGCUGUUCUGACGGUACCCAAAGAAUAAGCACCGGCUAACUUCGUG